rfam:Felis catus isolate Cinnamon breed Abyssinian chromosome E2, whole genome shotgun sequence.
GCCUGGGUGGCUCAGUCGGUUGAGCGUCUGACUGUGGCUCAGGUCAUGACCUCCUGGUUCGUGGGUUCAAGCCCCGCGUUGGGCU